ACUGCGGAUGGAUCAU
rnacentral:rRNA from 1 species